rnacentral:rRNA from 1 species
AUUGAACGCUGGCGGCAUGCCUUACACAUGCAAGUCGAACGGUGGCGCGGGCUUCGGCCUGGCGACGAGUGGCGAACGGGUGAGUAAUAUAUCGGAACGUGCCCUAGAGUGGGGGAUAACUAGUCGAAAGAUUAGCUAAUACCGCAUACGAUCUAAGGAUGAAAGUGGGGAUCGCAAGACCUCAUGCUCAUGGAGCGGCC